ensembl:lncRNA
AGUAUGUGUUGUAAAUAUGUCUUUAUCUGUCUAAUAAGGCUGGGCGUGAAAAGCAGUGUGCCACACUACUGAUCUGGAACUGAGAUAUACCCAAUCAUUUCAGGUAUUGCUGUAGAAAUGCAGACGCGUACGGAGGCUGCAUGAUAACUCCAAAUGAAGCCAAUCAACUUUAUUACUUACAUGAAGUAAUGACCAUAAUGUUAUGAUUGCUAUUCUUUCAGGACCUAUGGCAUGGAGUUUUACACCCCAUCACCAGUGUGCAUGAGUGGUUCCUGGGUUCCUGUCAUCAUGGCCCCCUGAAGGACAAUGACAAGUCGUUGAUUCCAAAGGGCUCUGUAGCACACAAGCAACUAUGUGAAUUCGUGCUGGAUUCACGGUGACUGAAGAUCAUAACAAAGUACCUGUCUUUGAGAAAAGGCAGACUCUACAGCAAGAGAACAAAGCUGUGGCGAUUGUACAAAGUUCCAAAAGGACUACAAAAACAUAUCGGACCAGCAGGCGAUCACACUUCGCACAAGGAUUUAUCUAAGGGAGGAAUGGCAAAAACCCUUUCAGACCUGAUGACCGUAGAAAGCUUGGGACUCUAGCUGGUGGACCAACCCCAACAAUACAAGAGCUAGAGCAGCAACAGGUCAGCAGAGGACUGAGUAAGUCGGUAUUAUGCAGAUGACUAGUAUAUUCUAUCAUUACAUUUCUUUUGACUGGGUAGACACUAUGAUAUAACAGCAAUAUUGUAAUUAGAAUGAUGUAUUGAAGAAAACAAUCCUUGGAAAUCAUAAAUUGUUGUUUUUUUCUUUCAAACAGGACAACUGUCAGAAUAGACGGGGAACCAGCUUCUGCCAUCAGACUCAUCAAAAUUAUAGCUGUACAGUAAUGUCAAAUGAAAAUAUUAGAAACUCAAAACACUGAAUAAACAGUUGUG